ACUCAACACUGUUUUGCGAGCUAUUUGUGGAUGUUGAAGCUGCACUGCUGUGGGAGCAGAAGCCGAGACAUCUUUGCCAUCUCUAAAGCCUCGGCUUGUCUGAGUAAAGAUGAUCAAGACUAGCGGCAUAUCCCGCUUACCUAGAGACGUACCAUAAACGCAGGUGGCUAAAUGAGAGAUCAGCGGGUACAAAUGACUACAGCGGCACCACGAAGUACCUUGAGCUGCAGAAAUCAAUAACACAAAGCCAGUCCGAGAUUUUCUUCUCUCUUCUGGGAGCAGAAUUGGGAUUCCGAGGGCACACGCACAAUUCAUCAGUUUUAGAGGGGCUCGGAG